AUGUGAACUACGCACGGGCUUGCCCGCAGUGAGAAGAAACUCCCAGGCUGCUAACCAGGGCUCUGUCAUUGUCCAUCCGCCUCAAGAAAUCACUCAGGACUUAGAGUGAAAACGACGUUAUUAUGAAAGAUGUAAUGAGAUGCAAAUAACUCUAACGUGCGGUAGCAGCUUGGAGAAACGUCAUUCACUGCGUCAGUGAUCCCCCAGCCUGAGAGAACCUUCGCCUCAUAGAAAGCUAUCCACCAGGUAUGAGCAAGCAACUGUUCUCCUCUGUCUGCAUGCCUUCCCUGCGGGGAUGCCUGGUAUCUUCAGACUGUGGACCAAAUAAGCCCUUCUCACCUGAAGUCACUGUUUGCACGGUUCAUCUGUGUUUUGGUGUAUAUUAGAAAGUCCUUUAUUUUAAAAGGUGAACACCCCCCCAUGUGUACCAUGUGUACCCACCACACUUUGUUUAUCUACUGUUUACCUGAAGCAGGAAAGCUGAAUGCUGCUGUUCAUUUCAAUGUAAGGAAAAAAGAAAGAAAGAGAAAGAAAGAAACCUCUAAGAAUAAUUUUCAGGAUGUGUGAGAGAGAAUGAGAGAAAGCCGGAGAAAAGCAAGAACAUUGAUGUUGGUCUCUAAAUUACACAGUAAAGAUCUUCAAUUUUCCCCAUUUGUUGAUUUAUUUUACCCAGUUUGGAAGAC